UCAUCGCUAGGGAGCCUGGUUUCAGGGAGAAAACUGAGUGCCCCACCAAAAGUGCACCAUUUUGCCUCCUCCUCCGCAACAUGAAGGUGUGGCUUGACACCAGACCCUUCAACAAGUCUCCUGCUGCUGGUGCCCCGCCCUGCCCCCCGGCCAUUUUCUCCAGAGCAUAGCUACAAGACAUGCUUCUGAAAGGAGAGCAGAAAAAAUUAAAAUUGUCUCUAGUGCUGAACUGACAGCACUGGCAUGGAGCCUGCCACAGGAAAAGGAGUGGGGACCCCAGCCCAGGUGACAUGGUUGAACCAAGUGGAAGGGGGCCCAGAUGAGCCCAGAAAAUCCAAGCCAAAAGGAACGCAUCAGAAUGUCUGGAAAAAGGGGCAGCUACCCACGGGAUUGCCCCCAGGGCAGCACAGCAGCAAAAACAGUGGUGCAAGAACCUGCAUAGAACUGAGCGCAACAGAACAGUGGUGUGACUGGGAUGACAUCCUGACUGUGAGGACUUAGGCAUUUAUCUCCUAACAUGAAAUAUUUAAUAGUUCCUUUAUAGAAGAGUGUACAGAUGAACAACAUCUAUAUGUAGCAACAUAUUGAAUUUUUGGUUUUUAUGGCAGCAGAAAUUCAGUUUUCCUAACUGAGAAGGCAUUGCAAGGGUAAGAAGUGACAUUUUGUUGUAGGUCAGGAUAGUGUUGUUUUCUCUAUAGUGAAAUAGUGCUGUGCUGUGCUACUAUACAAUCUUAGCUAGAGCUAUUUGCCUUUUUUCAGGUUUACAGUGGAUGACAUUUAAUGACACAUUGUCAGGUUACAUCACAUUAUUGUCAAAAUUAGAGCUUUUAUGCUCCCUGCCUCAGGAGGAAUAUCUCCAUGGCAUUUCAGAAGUGUACGACAGAAUGAGCAACAAUGGGCAGAAAAGAACAGGGCAAGUUCUCAGUCACAUUAAAAUAAGGAAAUGCUCAAGAGCUGAGGCCAUGCUACAGAGACAAAAUAUAAUGACAUUAUAUGUCAAAGUGUCCUGUCUAUUUCUGCUACCACAAGCUUGGAGUUCAUAAACCUUAGGGUGACUUGAGUUCAAGAAAUAUUCCUGUAUAAGAACACCUAGAUAACUUCCACAAUAGACUGAGAAUAAUUUUUCUGUUUCUUGUCUCAUACAAUGCAUAAAUGUUCUGUUGAUUAACAGGGUUCAUUUCCACAAAUUGAUGUUCACAUCACAAUCUUAAAUUAGGAUAUUUAAUAACACCUUACUAUUAUACAGAUAGACCUGCUUAAAGCUAAUGAAGGGUUUUCCCUGAGAAGUUCAGCCUUUCAUUUGCUUUUGAAUGGCAGAAUUAUUUUAAAACUUAAAAGAUUUUGCGCAUAAAAUGUAUUUCUUCAGUUUGAAGUCAGACCUGAAAGCAGGUUGUUCCGUUGGCAUGACCAUAAACUUGUCUGAUUUGCCUCCCCGCUCUGGAUAGAUAAAUAAAAAAAUUACAAUCUUCUCCUGUUACUUGUUAAAAAAAGCAGGUCAAAGUCCUCGUAUUGAUACUGUGCUCCUUUGUCUUUUUUCUUCUUUCUUGUCCUGAAACCUUUUGGCUUCUAGAAAAGAAAAAACAAAGUAAAAAAAAUAAAUUUUAAAGGUAGUUAAAUAAUAAGAGGAGCUUUAUUUAGAAAUUAUAUUAUUUAAUCUAUCAUAUAGUUCUGUCCCUGCUCACUGCAAGGGGAUUGUACUAGAUGUGUGGUAAAGUAGUCAUGCAGUAGGGAAGGGAUACAAUCCAGAGGGACACCGAUAGACUUGUGAGUCAGGUCUCUGAGAAAGUUCUUUCAUGAAGCUUAAGAAAGCCAAGUGCAAGGUACUGCACCAUGAUCAGGACAAUUGCAAACAUAAUACAGGCUGGGCAAAGCUGCCCUGAAGAGAAGGACAUGACCCAGGCAUGGGCACUCCCAGCCCAGAAAGCCAAAUGUGUCCUGGGCUGCAUCCAAAGCAGCGUGGGCAGCAGGGGAGGGAGGGGACUCUGCCCCUCUGCUCUGCCCUUGUACCUGGAGUACUGUGUAUAGCUCUGGGUUCCUCAGAAUGAAAAGGACAUGGACCUUCAACUGAGUCCAGGGGAGGGCCAUGAAGAUGAUCUGAGAGCUAGAGCACCUCUCCUGUGAAGAAAAGAUGCAAGACCUGGAGUUGUUCAGACAGAGAAAAAAAGGGUUCAGGAAGACCUUAUAGCAGCCUUCCAGUACCUGAAGGGGGCCUACAAGAAAACCAAAGAGGAAAGGCCCUGGAAGUGUUCAGGGGCCAGGUCAGAUGGGGCUUUGAGCAACCUGAUCUAUUGGCAGGGUGGUUUAAAGCAGAUGACCUUUAAAGGUCCCUCCUAACUCAAACUACUUUAUUAUUCUAUAUAGUUCUGAUAUAUUUCAACCUUACAUUCAACUCUUUAUUAUUUCUUUGGUUUACUUAAAUGGAGAUUUACAGUGCUUUUCUCACACUUUGGUGUGUUAACUGGUAUGUGGUAUUCUGGCAUGGAAUGAAAAUAUCUGUCUGCAUUUCAGUACACCAUUUCAUUAAAAAAAUUAAGUAUUUAAAAUUAGUGUGCCUUUGCUUUGUGGCAGGAGACUUCAAUAGUAAUUUGGCAGAAAAAUCUCUGAUUAUGGUAUUUGGCAGCCCACAUUUCUUUCUCUUCUUUACCCCAUUCCUGCUCUUGAGUUGUCUAGCUUGGACAACUCAUUUGUGGGAUGUGUGGUGCAUAUGUCAAAGUGAUGAGUCAUGUUGUUCAUUUAGUAGCUGUGUUCCCCCUAACUUUGCUGCCCCAGUAAAAUCAGUGUUGUCUUUCUGGAGUCAUGUGUCCAGUACAAAAUGUUUUUGUGAAUGUAGACAACUCUGUGUCAAAGUGAACAUUAAUGUAUCAUUUUCAUUGUUAUUGAUAAGGAUCCUAAGAUGAAGUCUAAAUAUUUAGAUUCCUCUAUUUAAUAUAAGAUAAUAUUUAUUUUGGUUAUUGGUUGGGGUUUUUUUCAGUUAGUAUUUCAUGACAACUAUAAUUUCCAAAAAGUAGUUUAAGAAUCCCUGGGCUCAUCAAAUUCCUCCUUGGCUUUCAAGAUUUUGCUUCCUGGGGCUACAGCGGACUCUCUGAGUGCACUGUACAGUGGAAGUCCUGAGUGACCUAUAUCCUCCUUGAAGAACCAGAAGACUUAAAGUUCCUGGGACAAAGUUUCCUUAUCCUUACUAGGGUGCAUUUAUAGAUUGGAUUCUGUGAAACACACACACACAAAGAAAAUUUUCUGAGAAAUUGGAUCAAAUUGCAAAAUAAUGAAAUAAGUUCCUUGCAAACUAGAAACACCACAUUUAAUCUAAGUCUGUCUUGGAAGACUACUUUAAUGGAUGCAUAAUUCCACUGCUAGAUGAAAUUAAGUAACUUUUUUCUUUUUUUCUAGUAAGUUAUUAUAAAUUGAAGUUAAGGAAAAAUAAUGUUCUUUUAAAUAAUGUUUAAUAUUGACCCUGUCAAACAUUCUAACCCAAUUAUUCUAACAAAAUGUGAAAUGUAUAUGCCAGCAACUCUGACUAAUUGGGCAAAAGUAACCCAUGCAAACAAUUUUGUAAUUUAACUGAGGGCAGUGAUAGUCCAGGUUUAAAAUUAUGGAGUAUUAGAGCAAGAUACCCCUUUCAGAGCAAGUAUGGGAACACCAGCAUUAUUUGAAAAAAAGAAAAAAAACCUGCAUGGAACCUAAUCUUGAAGGUUCUAGCACUUUUUUUAAAUUUAGUCAUUGGGCUGGGCUCCAAGCAAGUAAAAAAAUUAUUAUAAGCUUUGUAAAUUUUGUUCUCAUUUAUACCAUGUAUUGCUCCAAAUUCUGUGCUGAAAGUACAGCAGUCAGUAUGUUAAAAAAUGCAACAUGUACAGGAUGUGAGAUCACUCUCCUUAUGAAAUCUCCACAUGGUCAUGUAAAAAUAAAACACACUUUGAGGCAAUUGAAAUGUUGCAAAUUAUAGAGAAUCAGAGUAACUAUUUAUACAUUUUAAUGAAGUGUGAGACAGCAUUUAAAAGAGAGGUUUUAAAUCCAAAACCCAAAGAAGCACUUCCAUGAUUUAUGGCCUAAAUCCAGUUGGCAUGAGCCAAGCCAAGUAAUUUGGAAGAGUGCUUCCUCUGCCUAAACUGAAAGAAGUACUUCUUGGUCAUACAUAGCUGGAUGUAUUAACCAGUGUGGUCUGACUUGGCUCAGAGGGGGAACUCUCAUUGCCCUGCAGGCAUCUUUGAGAACAUUUUAUUUCCUGGCACCUUGAUGCACCUAGCUAUUGGGGCACACUCAAAGCACACAGUUUAGCUGCUGUGUUAGAAGGAAAUAUCAGGAUACCUGGAUUUUAAUUACAUGCACCACUGCGUGACAGAAACUCUACCCAUAAAGCAUACAUAUUCAAAAAUAACAAGGCUGGAAUAGUCAGCCUAGAUUUAUAAGGGGCAUCAUAUGUAUGACCAACCUUACUGCUAUUGCUUGGUGUGUUUGCUGACAGGUGGAGAGCAGCAGCUAUUUUUUACCUUCACUGUAUCUUUUCAGAAGGGUCUCUCUCAUGCUCACAACCAGGAAGAGGUACAGAUUGAAUGAAUGGACUGCUGGGGAGUUAAAGUGGCAGGUUCAUUAUGCUCAAAGGCUAGUGCUGACAGCUGGAAGGUUGGUUACAAAUGCUGUUGGGCAUUUGACAGGCUGAUACUAAAGCCAACACUGCUUAAUGUCCAUAGCAACUCACAUGGUGGGAUGUAUUUCCUUGGCAAGUUUGCAAAUGAGACUCAUCUGUGCGGAGCAGUUGAUAAACUAGAGAGCAGUGUUGUUAAAGGGACCAACUAAGGUCAAAGGGAACUCGAGACUAUUACCUGAAGAGAAGACAGGAAUUGCAAAAUACAAUAACACUUGAGUCAUGUCCAUCUGAUGAACAAAUUCAAUACAACCAGAUGACAGGUGAAAAGGGAGUUUGAAGAAAAAGUUUUGAGGGUCCUAGUGGACAACAGGUAUUUGUAAAUUGGAAGAUGGGUUAGCAGUCUGUCUUUGCAGUAAUGAAGGCCAAGUGCCAACUAGGUUGCACUGGCUAAGUGUGGGAAGCAGGUUUAAGGAAGUGGCUGUUUGCAUCUAUUCAGUAUUCAUAAACUUCAACUGGAUCAUUAUUCUGAGUUUUGUGCGUCCCUGUUCAAACAAGAUAUUGACAAAUUUUAAGAUGCCCACCAAGGUAAGCAGGGACCUGGAACACAUUUAGUAGGAAAGACUGAGAGUACUGGGCUUGCAGAACAUGUAUAGUGAGAGCCAGGCAUUCCAGGAGGCAUAAGUAUGCAGCAAGGAUGAAAGGCAGCAGGCUGAAAUUACAGGAAGGGGAAAAAAAAAAGAAAAAAUUUCCUCUGCAGCACUUCUAACCUAGGAGAUAUGAAGAUUUGACUGAAAAAAGAUUUUGAUUAACACAAUAAGAACUGCCAGAAGUGCCUUCCAACCAAUGCUUUCUGUGAUUAUGCACUGCAGCACCCUCAAUCACUCCUGGUGCUACAGCCAGUGGCUGUCUGGAUGAACCAAAAUUUUGAUCAUAUCAGCAUUUCCCUAUCUUCAUCUGCUAUAUCCAUCUUACAGACUUCCAUAGCUCAUGUGCUACUACCACUUGUGUGCUACAACUGUCUUCAGCAUUCCAACUGCUCCUACCAGCCAAGGAGGAGGUUUUCACAAACAGAUGGGACCAUAAAUUAUGUAAUUUCAUCCUUUGUCAAUCUCUAUACACAAAUGAACCCAUUACCUGCCCAGCAUAUAAUUGUUCACUUGGGACACUAAUUUCUGAGCAGAUACUUGUACAACUAUGCUAUACAGAAAUUACAGACUUAAAAGAAAAAAGCUCUGAAAAUAGAAUUCUUCAUUUACUUGUAAAUUGUACCUUGAAUUCCAGUUGCAGUAAUUUGCACUUGUCUCUUAGCCUUGACUACUUUUUCUCACCUUCUACUUUUGCUUGAGUGUCAACAGUCACAAAAGUCUAGGUUUUACAUGAUUAGCACAGGCAGCUUGCACUGGAUUAACAUUUUUUAAGGGUGAAGGCUAAGUGUAGAUGUACCUCAGAAACAAAGCCCAAAGCAUCUAUCUCUGGGAGUAAUCUUUUUUGGGAGAUAAAACAUUUGCGGUUCCACUGUCCACCCAGACCUGGACAGUGGCUGUAAUUUUCUUUUAUUUUUUCUUUACCCUUGUGAAAUCAAGUACAAUGUGCAAGCCACUAACACAGUAGCUACAUCAUGCCAAUAAAAGUCAUGCCUUACAGUUUUUUUCUGUCAGCUGUUCCUCUGCCCAGAGGACUAUUUGCGAGGAAGUGUAAUGGGGCUUCUCUACUCUGAUUACAUUCAGCAGAAAGUGCUAUGAGAGAUACUGUAACAGCAUGGUAUGUAUCUUUGGUACAUAUGCACUUCCUGGUUUUGCUAAUAAAUGCUUAAUAAAUUGUCUGUAUGAGUAUGUCAAGUGCUUUUUUAGACUUUAUUUUCUUCCCUCCAAAUUGAAUAAAAAACUAAUUUUUCCCCUACAGCUAAAUUCUCUGACUUGUGUUCUAGACAUCUAAAUAAUAAGAUGAUAUAGAACAUGAAAGAAUAAACAGAAAGGUAGGGGGAAAACAUAUGCUAUGCUACAACAGUUUUAAUCUGAAAUGAACUAUAUUUCUAAGAUCGUUUUUAUCUUGCUAGACUGAAUUUUUCUUCAGCAGAAAAUUUAUGGCCAUGUGGUGGUUCAACACUAAAAGUCUGCUGGCAAUAUUCAUUACAUGCUUCUUGAUUCUAUAUCAAAAUCCUUACCUACCUUUCCAGCCGUUUCAUAUGGCUGUCCCUGGAUAGUCAACAAUAUGAACAAAUUGUCAUAUAUGCUAACAUAUUUUAAUCUCAAAGACAUUUAAGACGAAAAAAUUAAUCUGAAAAAUAUUAAAAGAAGUGAUUUUCCUUAAGAAUGUAGCUGAAUUGUUUUCAAAAAAGAAACCUUAUAAUCUGUAUUAAGUAUAUAGAAAUAUAUUAUUCUGAAAUAUGGGAAAAAUCUAAACUAAGCUGAUUAUCAUGUGAUUUGUCACAGUGGGUUUUACAGUAUUUUUUUUAAACCAAUCUGUAAUGUAAGGCAGUGUCACCUCUUUCAAAUGUAACAGAAAAUUAUUUUCUGGCCUUGAAGCAGUGGUGAAGACAAAGAUUGUCAAAUUAAAAUCUUUAAAAUUUAUUUGCCAUGGCAACUUUUAAAUGUACUUCUUGGUGCAUGCAGUAUAGGAGUAUUAAUUUUAAAAAUGCUAUGCAGUUUUUUUCUUCAUUUAACUUUAAAUUCUGCAGUCUGUAAUCAUCAAU